CAAUGGGAUUCUGAUAUAAUGCAAGUUGAAGACCAAGAAAAUGAAAUAAAUGGUAUUUUUAAACAUCAACAGAAGACUUUUCAACAAACUAGAAUGCUUCAGACUGACAGCCUGAAAACACUUAAGCAGGCAGAUGAUGAGUUCUUAAAGGUUUUGGAGGAUUUCGAGAAGAAUUAUACCAAUGUACUUAACAGUAUACACAAUGAGUUUCAAAAGCAGAAGACUCUGCUGCAAAGAAAAAU